rnacentral:rRNA from 1 species
UCGAGGAUCUUCGUCAAUGGGCGCAAGCCUGAACGAGCGACGCCGCGUGCGCGAUGAAGGCCUUCGGGUUGUAAAGCGCGAAAGUGGAGAGAAAGGGAAACUUGAUCAAUCCACAGUAAGGACGGGCUAAGUUCGUGCCAGCAGCCGCGGUAAGACGAACUGUCCUAACGUUGUUCGGAAUCACUGGGCUUAAAGGGCGCGUAGGCGGUCCAACAAGUCGGGGGUGAAAUCCUGCAGCUCAACUGCAGAAGUGCCUUCGAUACUGUUGGUCUUGAGGGAAAUAGGGGUGUGCGGAACUUCCGGUGGAGCGGUGAAAUGCGUUGAUAUCGGAAGGAACGCCGGUGGCGAAAGCGGCGCACUGGAUUUCUUCUGACGCUGAGGCGCGAAAGCUAGGGGAGCAAACGGGAUUAGAUACCCGGGUAGUCC